AUCCUCAACCCUGACUCCCUAGCUAUCAAAGCUAAGUGUGUGAGGAGAAAAAGGAAGAAGAAAAAGAAGGGAAAAAGGAGAGGUAUUGAGGUGGGGGGAACGGGUAUGCUAAGCAGACCUCUAUGAGAGGUUUAUGAAGACCAGGAAAAACCAAGGAGCAAAGAUGAAAAGGAAUGUGGUUUCUUUGUAAGAAUCAAUGAAGAGAGAUGCACUGUAACAUGUAGAGCAGAUGCUUGAUCUAUGUACAGUUUGAAAAUUCUUGAGAAAAAUGUUGAUCAGUAUACAUCAGGAAGAGACUUGGGAGCAAGUUUGUGGCAGAAGGAUGGCACAGAAGACCAGUGUACAGGUAUAUAGGCAGUGCAGGAAGGAGAUAGGGAAGGAUAUGACAAUCUGUAUGACAAUAGACCUGCCUGCCUAAACUGUCCUCUUCCAGGCAAGAACAACCAGCCUCCCUUGCAUGACUGAGUAGUCUGAGGAUGAGACAUGGAAGGUGCAGUGUGUGGUGAGGAGAUGGAGGACUUUAAACACUACACACUUCCUAUUGUACUGCCAAGGGUACAGAGAAGACAGAAAGAGAAUAGGAAGACUGCAACAAGAGAAGGAACUACUUACUGAUAAAAAAAAAAAAAAAGGUAU